CCUACGGGAGGCAGCAGUGGGGAAUAUUGCACAAUGGGGGAAACCCUGAUGCAGCAACGCCGCGUGAGCGAGGAAGUAUUUCGGUAUGUAAAGCUCUGUCAGCAGGGACGAAAAAAGACGGUACCUGACUAAGAAGCCCCGACUAACUACGUGCCAGCAGCCGCGGUAAUACGUAGGGGGCAAGCGUUUUUCGGAUUUACUGGGUGUAAAGGAUGCGUAGACGGCAAGACAAGCUAGAAGUUAAAUGGCAGGGCUCAACCCGGUACAUGCUUUUGAAACUGUGGAGCUAGAGUGCAGGAGAGGUAAGUGGAAUUCCUAGUGUAGCGGUGAAAUGCGUAGAUAUUAGGAGGAACACCAGUGGCGAAGGCGGCUUACUGGACUGUAACUGACGUUGAGGCUCGAGAGCGUGGGGAGCAAACAGGAUUAGAUACCCGUGUAGUC
rnacentral:rRNA from 1 species